CCAGACUCCUACGGGAGGCAGCAGUGGGGAAUAUUGGACAAUGGGGGAAACCCUGAUCCAGCGACGCCGCGUGAGUGAAGAAGUAUUUCGGUACGUAAAGCUCUAUCAGCAGGAAAGAAAAUGACAGUACCUGACCAAGAAGCCCCGGCUAACUACGUGCCAGCAGCCGCGGUAAUACGGAGGAUGCGAGCGUUAUCCGGAUUUAUUGGGUUUAAAGGGUGCGCAGGCGGCACGGCAAGCCGGCGGUCAAAUCGCGGGGCUCAACCCCGCCCAGCCGUCGGAACUGCCGGGCUAGAGUGGGCGAGAAGUGCGCGGAAUGCGUGGUGUAGCGGUGAAAUGCAUAGAUAUCACGCAGAACUCCGAUCGCGAAGGCAGCCUACCGGCGCGCAACUGACGCUCAGGCACGAAAGCGUGGGUAUCGAACAGGAUUAGAUACCCCCGUAC
rnacentral:rRNA from 1 species